CCUACGUGAGGCAGCAGUGGGGAAUAUUGGGCAAUGGGCGAAAGUCUGACCCAGCAACGCCGCGUGAAGGAAGAAGUCUUUCGGUUUGUAAACCUCUUUUGACAGGGAAGAGAAGAAGACGGUACCUGUCGAAUAAGCCACGGCUAACUACGUGCCAGGAGCCGCGGUAAUACGUAGGUGGCAAGCGUUGUCCGUAUUUACUGGGUGUAAAGGGCGUGUAGCCGGGCUUACAAGUCAGAUGUGAAAGCCGGGGGCUCAACCCCCGUACUGCAGUUGAAACUGUAGGUCUAGAGUGUCGGAGAGGCAGGCGGAAUUCCUGGUGUAGCAGUGAAAUGCGUAGAUAUCAGGAGGAACACCAGUGGCGAAGGCGGCCUGCUGGACCGCAACUGACGGUGAGGCGCGAAAGCGUGGGGAGCAAACAGGAUUAGAUACCCGAGUAGUC
rnacentral:rRNA from 1 species